rnacentral:rRNA from 1 species
GUGGGGAAUAUUGGACAAUGGGCGAAAGCCUGAUCCAGCCAUGCCGCGUGUGUGAAGAAGGUCUUCGGAUUGUAAAGCACUUUAAGUUGGGAGGAAGGGCAGUAAGUUAAUACCUUGCUGUUUUGACGUUACCGACAGAAUAAGCACCGGCUAACUUCGUGCCAGCAGCCGCGGUAAUACGAAGGGUGCAAGCGUUAAUCGGAAUUACUGGGCGUAAAGCGCGCGUAGGUGGUUUUGUAAGUGGGAGGUGAAAUCCCCGGGCUCAACCUGGGAACUGCCUCCAAAACUGCAUGACUAGAGUACGGUAGAGGGGGAUGGAAUUUCCUGUGUAGCGGUGAAAUGCGUAGAUAUAGGAAGGAACACCAGUGGCGAAGGCGACUACCUGGACUGAUACUGACACUGAGGUGCGAAAGCGUGGGGAGCAAACAGGAUUAGAAACCCGAGUAGUCC